AUUGAACGCUGGCGGCGUGCCUAAUACAUGCAAGUAGAACGCAGUUGCGAACGGGUGAGGAACGCGUAGGUAACGGCCUCAUAGCGGGGGGUAAGUAUUGGAAACGAUAGCUAAUACCGCAUCCUGUGGGAUGGUCCUGCGUUGGAUUAGCUAGUUGGUGAGGUCAAGGCCCAACAAGGCGACGAUACAUAGACGACCUGAUAGGGGUAUCGGGUCAACUGGGACCGUGACCCCGCUCAGACUCCGUAGGUAGGCAGCAGUAGGGAAUCUUCGGAAAUUGACGGAAGUCUGACCGAGCAACGCCGCGUGAGUGAAGAAGGGUCUCGGAUCGUAAAGCUCUGUUGUUAGAGAAGCGGUAACUAACCAGAAAGGGACGGCUAACUACGUGCCAGCAGCCGCGGUAAUUC
rnacentral:rRNA from 1 species